rnacentral:rRNA from 1 species
UAAUACGUAGGGUGCAAGCGUUGUCCGGAUUUAUUGGGCGUAAAGAGCUCGUAGGCGGUUUGGCAAGUCGGGUGUGAAACCUCCAGGCUCAACCUGGAGACGCCACCCGAGACUGCUAUGACUUGAGUCUGGUAGGGGAUCACGGAAUUCCUGGUGUAGCGGUGAAAUGCAUAGAUAUCAGGAGGAACACCGGUGGCGAAGGCGGUGAUCUGGGCCAGUACUGACGCUGAGGAGCGAAAGCGUGGGGAGCGAACAGGAUUAGAUACCCUGGUAGUCCACGCCGUAAACGUUGGGCACUAGGUGUGGGGCUCUAUCGACGGGUUCCGUGCCGUAGCUAACGCAUUAAGUGCCCCGCCUGGGGAGUACGGCCGCAAGGCUA